GGGUCAAUGGCGUAGUGGGUUAACGCGUCUGUUCAACAUAUGAUCUUCAUACCGUUGAUGGCAGAACGUCCUCAGUUCGAGUCUGGGUUGACCCA